UAUAACUUUCAAGCCCAUUGCUGGCCUUCCCCACUAGGUGGGGCUUGCUGCAUUCCCAGGUUUGAAAUUAGUUCAGUUAGCUGGAGUAUUUGAGCGAUUUUUGUUUUGUAAUUUGUAAAUUCACGAGCUACAGGGGUGGCAUAGGGCUGCUGAACAGCAGAGACAUUUUGAGAGAGAUAAGGUGGAUUUCUGUUCUGAGAUCUGCUCUGGAGGUGGGUGGAACGUUUCAAGUGGGGGACCACUCUUUAUCCAGGGCAAGACACCCAGAAUGACCACUGACAUUGGGUUGUUGCUAUGAAGAUGGGCAGAAUGGAAAUCCAUGCAUGUAUGCCGCCUUGCCCCCUUGGAUGAAUGACAUAGCCAAAAUGGCGCUGCAGAGCAACCAGGGAAACUGUGUUGUUACAGUGGAAACAGGUAAGAA